rnacentral:rRNA from 1 species
CGCGUAGGCGGCUCUGUUUGUCGCGUGUGAAAGCCCCGGGCUCAACCUGGGGGGUGCGCGCGAGACGGCGGGGCUGGAGUUCGGGAGGGGAGCGUGGAAUUCCCAGUGUAGAGGUGAAAUUCGUAGAUAUUGGGAAGAACACCAGUGGCGAAGGCGGCGCUCUGGACCGAGACUGACGCUGAGGCGCGAAAGCGUGGGGAGCAAACAGGAUUAGAUACCCUGGUAGUCCACGCUGUAAACGAUGUGUGCUAGACGUUGGGAGGCCUAGCCUCUCGGUGUCGCAGCCAACGCGGUAAGCACACCGCCUGGGGAGUACGGCCGCAAGGUUAAA